UCGGCUUCCUCCCUUCUCCUGUUCACGCGAGGGACCGCCGCCGCCGCCCCUUCCCCUUCCAAACUCGCACUCGCCGGCCAUCCUCCCCGUCCGCCGCCGCCGCCACCGACCAGCCGCGCCCGCGCUACCAUCCCCUCCCCGUUCCUCUCCGAGAAGCAGCCCAAGGGCAGCCGCCUGCCGCUCGGCACGAACGCGGAUGCGGUGGCCGAAGGGGGAAGCGGCGCUGCUUUGGCGCCGCUAAGCGCCACCACCCCCCGUCCCUUCGUCCCCCGCCGCCUCUCUGCCUCCUCCCUUCCCGCCACACACCCUCCCUUCCCCUGCGCCGUUGCGCUGCUGCUCCACUGGGUACGAGUUCCAUGGCGGUCCGGGAUCCAUGGCCUCCGACUUGGCGUCGUAGCCGUCAGCCUCGGCGUUGAGACAGUGCCAAGGAAUUUCACGCGGGGAAGUGGCUCACCGAUGCGCGUCUCGUGGCCCCGCUGGAUCCGGUGCUCAACACCUCCAUCUCGUGCGUCACGAAGUCGCCGCCGGGGACGCUGCGCUGGUCGGUCGGAGGCCGAGCUAGCCUCGUCCUCUAAGUUACCCUCCGGCAUCAUCAAGCUAAGAGAGGGAGAUUGAACGAUGAGGAAGCAGAGAGGGAGAUUGUGGGACGAAGAGAGGGAUGCGGGAGGCAGCAGUCCAUUCCUGCGGUCGACCUCAUUCUUGAUUGGAUUAGUAAACAAAGAGGGAGGAGGGGUCGGGGGAUGGAGGGAUGGAGAAGCUCUCAUCGGCAGCGGCUUUCGUGGAGGGCGGUGUGUACACCUGCGACCACACCUACAGCAUCUGCCUCAAGGCCUUCUGCGACAGUGACUCCUCCACAGUAGCUACCUCUGUCUUGCAGAUGUUACAGGCUGCAAGCAUGAUUUGCAUCUCCAGUGCAUCCUUGAGUGGUGCCAGAGAAGCUCCCAGUGUCCCAUGUGUUGGCAGGCAAUCAACACGAAGGACCCUAUGAGUGCUUUGGAGAAGAUGGACAUGAGGCCCCAACCUGCACUGGCAUAGCUAGGCAGGGGAGUAUCCUUCCACUUGACAUUUCCUUCUCAGUUUUGUAUGUUUAAUUUUUAGAGCCGUGGUUACUAUGAAAACCGAGAUGUGGAUAUUGCAGUAUUGAUCUUAGUUCAAUUCAUUCUAUUACGUAGCCUCACUUUGUUAUCCAUGAUUUCCCUCAUUUGAUUGAUUUGACACAUGUUCAUUCACUAGAUUAUAGUCUACUUCAUUUUUUGUGUAUUUAGUUCUAGGUUGUUUUGAUUUAAGUGGUACUUGAUUUCUUGGCAUUGUUCAUUGUCUCGAGCCAUGUCUGAAACUGAAGGAAAGAAGGCCCUGACCACUCUCAUCAUUUACUCAAGUAAUAACACCAUCGGCGACAGGAACGACAAGCUGACGCAGAUGCGUGCCUCGAUUGUUUAUAUAAAUGUGUAAGUAGAAAAAUUUCGUGGGCAACAACCUGGGAUAGAUAAGAGAGAUACGAAUCAUACGAUGGUCUUUCAGAAGAGAUGCUGCUACGAAGAUCUUUAUCGUAUCUUGGUGGCUGCUAAUGAAUCAUGUAAUGAUGGCGCAGAACUCACCAGAGGAAAAAGACCGAACUGCGGAGUUUCCCCAUUGUUAGAGCUCUUGGUGCCCGGACAAGACCUCUAUCUCGAUUCUCCCUUCGCAGCUCCGCUCCACCGACCUGAUGGCGAUGGCUGACGAAGAGCUCUAUGUCCAUGGCUCGUCAGGUUCCGCUGGCUCCACUAACAGCCGUCUACGGGCGCUUGCACAGGUCAGGAUACCAAGCGAGUGUUUAGGAUCCCACACAGGGCAUUUCUUGACAUGCUCCUAGCACACCUUGGGCUAAUCACCGGCUCAGUAUGAUCGUGUUGUACAUGAGGACGGCAAGAUCUGUGUGACCAUCUUUUUCAACACCUGUACAUUGGAUCUUGGAGGACCAAUCAGUAUGAACGCGUCGUGUCAUCAUUCCUCCUGGUCUACAUUAUGCCCAGACAUGCAAAGUUGUGGAUUGUCUGUAAGCUACCAUUUGCUUUCGUAUGUCCUAUGUCUGUGAUAUUUGCUACUAAACCUAUUGUGCUACGUGCUUUCUAUGUUCGUACAUUGUUAGGUGGCUCCUUAUUGUGUGCAUACAAACAAACCUUACUUCUGAAUGAUUCUUCAUUAGUUUUUUCUAUUUUUAUCAUGGCUGACAGAAUAAUGAGUGAAAAAAUUGCUUUGCUUAAA